AUACGUAGGGUGCAAGCGUUAAUCGGAAUUACUGGGCGUAAAGCGUGCGCAGGCGGUUUUGUAAGACCGAGGUGAAAUCCCCGGGCUCAACCUAGGAACUGCCUUUGUGACUGCAAGGCUGGAGUGCGGCAGAGGGGGAAGGAAUUCCGCGUGUAGCAGUGAAAUGCGUAGAUAUGCGGAGGAACACCGAUGGCGAAGGCAAUCCCCUGGGCCUGCACUGACGCUCAUGCACGAAAGCGUGGGGAGCAAACAGGAUUAGAUACCCUGGUAGUCCACGCCCUAAACGAUGUCAACUGGUUGUUGGGUCUUCAUUGACUCAGUAACGAAGCUAACGCGUGAAGUUGACCGCCUGGGGAGUACGGCCGCAAGGUUGAAACUCAAAUGAAUUGGCGGGG
rnacentral:rRNA from 1 species